rnacentral:sRNA from 1 species
GCUGCGCCUAUCCCGAGGCUGAUCACCGACGGAGAACACCGGGUACCUUCACCCGGCUGGCGUGACACCCCGUUUCAGGA